GAACGCCUCCUGCCUUCUGCGUUAUCUCGCCGGAGUUCAACUUGUCCUUUUCUGUCUUCUGUACUCGUGGUGGUGGUAGUGCUCCAGGGCAGCCCUCUUGUCGUUUUCCUAAAUGUUUCAGGUUGAAGCCGAAAGUUAACCUUUGCAAGUUGAAGCUGAUACAAGCUGGAGUAGUAUUAUAGUUGCUAUCGAAGUGAGGACGCUUGACUUUGUAAUAGUUAGUUGUUUAUAAUCUAUAGUUAUUUCUACA